UACAGAGGUCUCAAGCGUUGUUCGGGAUUCAUUGGGCGUAAAGGGUGCGUAGGCGGCGCGGGUAAGUCGGGUGUGAAAUCUCGGGGCUUAACUCCGAAACUGCAUUCGAUACUGCCGUGCUUGAGGACUGGAGAGGAGACUGGAAUUUACGGUGUAGCGGUGAAAUGCGUAGAUAUCGUAAGGAAGACCAGUGGCGAAGGCGGGUCUCUGGACAGUUCCUGACGCUGAGGCACGAAGGCCAGGGGAGCAAACGGG
rnacentral:rRNA from 1 species